rnacentral:rRNA from 1 species
UACGUAGGUGGCAAGCGUUGUCCGGAAUUACUGGGCGUAAAGCGUGCGCAGGCGGUUGUGCAAGACAGAUGUUAAAUCCCCGGGCUUAACCUGGGAACUGCAUUUGUGACUGCACGGCUAGAGUGUGUCAGAGGGGGGUAGAAUUCCACGUGUAGCAGUGAAAUGCGUAGAGAUGUGGAGGAAUACCGAUGGCGAAGGCAGCCCCCUGGGAUAACACUGACGCUCAUGCACGAAAGCGUGGGGAGCAAACAGG